UACGUAGGGUGCAAGCGUUAAUCGGAAUUACUGGGCGUAAAGCGUGCGCAGGCGGUUUUGUAAGACAGAGGUGAAAUCCCCGGGCUCAACCUGGGAACUGCCUUUGUGACUGCAAGGCUUGAGUGCGGCAGAGGGGGAUGGGAAUUCCGCGUGUAGCAGUGAAAUGCGUAGAUAUGCGGAGGAACACCGAUGGCGAAGGCAAUCCCCUGGGCCUGCACUGACGCUCAUGCACGAAAGCGUGGGGAGCAAACAGG
rnacentral:rRNA from 1 species